UACGAACGGUCCAAACGUUAUUCGGAAUCACUGGGCUUAAAGCGUCCGUAGGCGGCUCGGAAAGUAGGGUGUGAAAUCCCACGGCUCAACCGUGGAAUUGCGCUCUAAACUAUCGAGCUAGAGGGAGAUAGAGGUGAGCGGAACUGAUGGUGGAGCGGUGAAAUGCGUUGAUAUCAUCAGGAACACCGGUGGCGAAGGCGGUUCUCUGGGCAUGAUCUGACGCUGAGGAGCGAAAGUGUGGGGAGCGAACAGG
rnacentral:rRNA from 1 species